GGGUGGUGACGCAGGGAGGAGGUCCUUACCUCUCCCUGGGAGGUCUUUUCAGCGCCUUGGGCCCAGAUGCGUCUCGUCUCCGGGCUCCGUGUGGGCAUCAGGCUGUGCCUCUUCCCCGUCACCACCAUCUUCAUCGUCACGCACUUUCCCUUCCACCCCCUCCUCACGCCGCAGGGACCGGACAGCAGCAUGCUGCAGACCAGCAUCUCCACCCUGGGUUUUAUUGAGUAGCUGGUGGCAGUAGUGUUCUGGAGCUGCUUCCCUGACACGCAGUCAGCUGGGGCCCGGCCUGGCUCUGCGCAGAGCUGAGUUGUGAAAGCUAAGGAAGGCAGGCGGGGCUGCCCUCCCGCCUCUUGGAGCCUCGGGCCAAGCUCUCUACGUCUCUCUGGCAUGAUUAGGACCCUGAUCCACGAAACGGCUCUCGGACAUGCCAGGGCACUCACUCUGCUCCACCGUCCUCCAUUCCCCCCACCCCCAUUCGGCUCUUGACCCAUCUCGAGGGACAUGUUUUACCAGGAAUUCUUCCUGCAGGAGAGCUGAAUUGGAAACCCAGGGUGGCGGGAGGGAGGGGUGGUAGGAGGUACCCUGGUGAGCAGAGCCACUCACUCUGGGCACCUACAGUGAGGAACCCGUGGGGGAGGUACCUGGGCCUUGAAGAAACCGUGCACCCCAGGCCCUCCCUCCCCCAGGAACCACAAGCAAGGAAGAGAAGCAAACAGACCCUUGUCAUCCUAGCCACCUCCUGGCAGUCUCUGGAUAACAAUCUAAGGAGACAGGCGGACGUUUAUAAUUAGAGGAUAAUUCAGAACAUAUACACUAUUUACAAGGGCGGCCCUGCACAGAGCAGGGAAGGUGGGAGGCUGCCGGGCACAGGUGCAAAGUCUAGGGGGCUCCUCCUCUCUCUUCACCCUUGUUUUUGCUGUUCUCAGCCUCAGCUCCGAGCAGGGAGUGAGGAGUCGGAUUCUCUUGGGGUCUGCGGGUGGCGCAGAGACCAGUCACCGGGACCUUGCUGCUGGCAGAAGGCCCAGUGGCGAUUCCGGCGUGACACCUGCCUUGGUGUUGCUGGGUAAGGUGGGGCUGGAGGGGCGGCCGCUCCCUGCCUGCUGUCCUCACCAGAAGGCUAGAGGGGUCAGCCACGUGCGCGCCGGGAGUGGACAGCUGGAGCGGUGAGGGGUAGGCCCUGUCUCUACCGCAGCUCGGGGAUGAACUGAGCCCAGCUGAUGCCGUCAGGGCCCAGCGGGUCCUCGUCCAGGCCGGGGAAGCUGAUGUCCAGCAGGAUCUUGCUGAGGCUGUCAUUCAUCGUGUCCAGCACCAGGCCUUCUGUCAGAGACCGGUUGGCAGAGAGGCUGGCGACCUGCGGCUCAGUGGAGCUGAGCUUGGGGACUUCCAUCUCUGAGGGGGAACAGCUGCUGAAGGGGUCAGAGGCUGGAUUUCUUCCUCCUUGAUGGGCUGGACCGGAAGCAGAGGAGACAGCACCUCUCUGAGCGGGAGUUUCUCCUCUUUCA